rnacentral:rRNA from 1 species
CCUACGGGAGGCAGCAGUGGGGAAUAUUGGACAAUGGGCGAAAGCCUGAUCCAGCAAUGCCGCGUGAGUGAUGAAGGCCUUCGGGUCGUAAAGCUCUUUUACCAGGGAUGAUAACGACAGUACCUGGAGAAUAAGCUCCGGCUAACUCCGUGCCAGCAGCCGCGGUAAUACGGAGGGAGCUAGCGUUGUUCGGAAUUACUGGGCGUAAAGAGUACGUAGGCGGUUAUUCAAGUCAGAGGUGAAAGCCCGGGGCUCAACCCCGGAACUGCCUUUGAAACUAGAUAACUAGAGUCUUGGAGAGGUUAGUGGAAUUCCGAGUGUAGAGGUGAAAUUCGUAGAUAUUCGGAAGAACACCAGUGGCGAAGGCGACUAACUGGACAAGUACUGACGCUGAGGUACGAAAGCGUGGGGAGCAAACAGGAUUAGAUACCCUGGUAGUCCACGCCGUAAACGAUGAUAACUAGUUGUUCGGUCACUUGGUGACUGAGUGACGCAGCUAACGCAUUAAGUUAUCCGCCUGGGGAGUACGGUCGCAAGAUUAAAACUCAAAAGAUAAUUAGACGNGAGAGAGCGACGACGACGACGACGAGGAGAG